GAUGAACGCUGGCGGCGUGCCUAAUACAUGCAAGUCGAGCGAACGGAUGAGAAGCUUGCUCCUCUGAGGUUAGCGGCGGACGGGGGAGUAACACGUGGAUAACCUACCUAUAAGACUGGGAUAACUUCGGGAAACCGGAGCUAAUACCGGAUAAUAUUUUGAACCGCAGGGUUCAAAAGUGAAAGACGUUUUUGCGGUCACUUAUAGAUGGAUCCGCGCUGCAUUAGCUAGUUGGUAAGGUAACGGCUUACCAAGGCAACGAUGCGUAGCCGACCUGAGAGGGUGAUCGGCCACACUGGAACUGAGACACGGUCCAGACUCCUACGGGAGGCAGCAGUAGGGAAUCUUCCGCAAUGGGCGAAAGCCUGACGGAGCAACGCCGCGUGAGUGAUGAAGGUCUUCGGAUCGUAAAACUCUGUUAUUAGGGAAGAACAUAUGUGUAAGUAACUGUGCACAUCUUGACGGUACCUAAUCAGAAAGCCACGGCUAACUACGUG
rnacentral:rRNA from 1 species